rnacentral:rRNA from 1 species
AGGACGAACGCUGGCGGCGUGCCUAACACAUGCAAGUCGAACGAGGUCCAACCGGUAGCAAUACCGGUGAAGACCAAGUGGCGAACGGGUGAGUAGCACGUGAGCAACCUGCCCCGAAGACCGGGACAACACCGGGAAACCGGUGCUAAUACCGGAUAUCCCCACCGAGUCGCAUGGCUUGGUGAGGAAAUGGAUUCCGCUUCGGGGAGGGGCUCGCGGCCUAUCAGCUUGUUGGUGAGGUAACGGCUCACCAAGGCUUCGACGGGUAGCUGGUCUGAGAGGACGAUCAGCCACACUGGGACUGAGACACGGCCCAGACUCCUACGGGAGGCAGCAGUGGGGAAUCUUGCACAAUGGGCGAAAGCCUGAUGCAGCAACGCCGCGUGAGGGACGAAGGCUUUCUGAGUUGUAAACCUCUUUCAGCAGGGACGAUUGUGACGGUACCUGCAGAAGAACGCCCGGCCAACUCGUGCCAGCAGCCGCGGU